rnacentral:lncRNA from 1 species
AGUUUUAUAUUUGUCCAUACAACGAAUUACAAUAUCUAUCUCCUGAAGGUAAGUAUACGUGAAACAGAAUAGCUAUAAGCAGCGAGUUUGGAUACGGGGAGCUCGACCUGAGGAAGAAGAAAUAUUUCAAUUUACAAUGGUUCAGGUGUGUGUGGCUUUUGAUAACUGACAUUUAGAUCUUCAGAUCCUUGUGCCAAAGAUAUUUAAGAUACAAUUCUGAGAUCACUUUCCUGAACUUUUGGUCAAAUAUUUCCAAACCUUGCAAUUCCCAGUGAGCGUCUCUUGACCAAAAUAUUGUGACAGCAAAUGUUAUUUUAUUCCAUAGUGUCUAUGAGCCAAUAGCUAUUUUUUAUUGCUGUCUUGCUGAUGCGGGAGGAUGAAGGAGCUGUGUUCGGUUGUUUCUUGAUUAAUACAAAUUAAACCAAGGUACCAAUCUGACGUCAAGAACUGGCAAAUUUUUCAAAUGGCUGUUUGUAAUUACAUGAUUUGACUUGGAUAUAAGAAGGGGACUGGGAUUUGAGAUUGAGGGAAUCAUCUUCAUCUCAUUAUUAUCAAAAUCCUCGGUGAAAUUUAUUUUGUGGAUUUUUUUUUUUUUUUUUUUUUUUUUUUUUGGCUCUGUUCUUGGGAAGUGCUAAGUCGUAGGAGAGGGGAUUGAUCCUCGAGACUUUCGAUCCAUUGGACUUUAUAAUGAUUGUUGUCUUCUUUCAUGAAUAUCUUGAACUAGUUUUGUAGCUACGUCUUGGCUUAGAUUGAUAGUUCUGCAAAUUUGGUCUGCAUUAAAUUCUCUUGACAUCCCAUAAGUUUUGCAAGAUCAACAUAUAUUUCUCUGAUUUAUUUCAAUUUAUAUUUGUAGGCUUGAGUCUCGCAGGAAAAGACCUUCUGGUCCGAGAUUAAGUGUAAUUUUCUAACUAUAGAACUCAUCCAACACAUGCUGCCAUCUUUCUCUUGUACCAUGUUGAUUAAAAUCUAUGUUGUAAUAGUUUAGUGCAGAGGAAGCUGUGCGAUACCAGCUUGAUGCAUUGAUGUUCAAUGACCAACCUCGGCCAGAUUAUGGGAUUGAAGUCAUGUAUAGGGUACUUUAUAAUCUCCAAACUGUUGCUUUGUAUUUAUUGACUUUGAUAUGAUAUUUUUCACCUGUUGCUAUCAUGAUCACACUGAUGUUAUGUUCCAUCAGUUUGCUGGAUUCGAUCCUUUUGAAAGAUCUACCUAUUUUGGGCCCUUCUUUGAUUUAGGGCAGGUCAGUAAGUAUUUAAUUUUUAUAAAUUUACGUUGGCUGUUUUUACAAUUCUUCUUCAUGAUUUUGGUUGCCACCACCCAGAAAGGUACCAUGUAGUAUAUGGGAAAAGUGAAGUACUAUCUGAAGCAUUUCAAAUUUGCUCAAUCAUCAAAGUACCAAAUCAAUGCAUUGUUCCUACUAUAUUGUCUUGUAAUUUGUGCAGUUCGAACGGUUUAGGCGGAUCUUCCACCAUUCAAGUUACAGAGUUUUGCUAGGUCACCGGGAAAGAAAGAUCUUAAGCAGUUUACUUGUGAAGGAGGUAAUGGAGUUUUAUAUUUGUCCAUACAACGAAUUACAAUAUCUAUCUCCUGAAGGUAAGUAUACGUGAAACAGAAUAGCUAUAAGCAGCGAGUUUGGAUACGGGGAGCUCGACCUGAGGAAGAAGAAAUAUUUCAAUUUACAAUGGUUCAGGUGUGUGUUGCUUUUGAUAACUGACAUUUAGAUCUUCAGAUCCUUGUGCCAAAGAUAUUUAAGAUACAAUUCUGAGAUCACUUUCCUGAACUUUUGGUCUAAUAAUUCCAAACCUUGCAAUUCCCAGUGAGCGUCUCUUGACCAAAAUAUUGUGACAGCAAAUAUUAUUCUAUUCCAUAGUGUCUAUGAGCCAAUAGCUAUUUUUUAUUGCUGUCUUGCUGAUGCGGGAGGAUGAAGG